AAAUGAUGAACGAAUAAUCUCUCGUUAGAUCGAGAAUGAAUAGGAAAAUAUUUACUUUACACACAUAAAAUAAGUACUUGUUACAAUCAUCCAACCGCAUCUUUGUUAUAAUGACCCGUUUUAACCUUAUUGAUGAAUUCGUUUUUAAAAAAUGUUAUGCACUGAUACGGAUCCUUAAAUCUGUCAAAAUGUAACUAACGUAAAACUUACAUGAAAUAUUUAUUACAAGAAUUUUAACGUUAAUGGCAUGUGCAAUGAUUAUGUAUCUAAAAUUUUAGUAAUUUAUUCAAACUAAUUUCAUUUCAGCUUAUAGAAAAACAUUUAAAUCGGCAUCUUUAUGAAAACAACUGUAUACCCAUACCAUAAUAGUAAAGAAUGAUUUUUUUAAAUUAUGGUGUAAACUCGAACACUUUCUGUGUAUAUCAUAUUGUUUUCCCAAGUAUUUGAUCAAUGCUGUAUAUAAAAAGAGAGAUGUGGUAUGAUUGUCAAUGAGACGUGUAUCUACUAAAUCCACAUGAAAUGGAUGUUGACAACUAUUGGUAAUAAUACGGCUUUUGAUUAUAAGCAAUUUCCAUACCGUUAAGUCAAGGCUAAACGCCCGUACAUAAAAAAUACAUGUUGAUUUAUAUUUUUCUAUUAUCUUUCAAUAUAAAUAUAGGCAACAUUAGUUUACCAAUUUUCAAAACUUAUAAAUCGAUUAAGAAGACAACUCAAAAUCACAAACAAUAACUGAGGCAAUCGUAGGAACUCCAAACGUAGCCAGCCAUAUUCAAAACAUAUUUUCAAAAAUUGUAUACCUCUAACAAAUCAUCAUGCCGUUUCUGUAUAUUUCAUAAAAUCUUAAAGGUAUCAAAUGUGACCACGUCUGACAAAAUGGGCCCAGAUGCGGUAACACGUAAUUUUGGCUAUGACGUUGCAAAGUUAACGUUGACGAGCACCUGCAAAAAAUUUGUUCGCUGCCUAAAAACAAUAUUAUUUCCCUUAUGAUAGCACAUGCACAGCUUACCAUGCGUGCGUAUUUCGUAAUUGUCUUUAUAUAUCAAAGUCCGCAAUAUUCAUUUUAACACGAUUCCGUAUUUUAGCCUGUUCAUAUUAUAAGUUACUUCCCUUACCGAAAACGUAGGUUGACAAAGUGAAAAAGUUUGAAGCUAGUUCUGUUUCAUUUUGCUAAAGUAUCCCAUCGGAACUAACAGAUAAACAUGAUGAGAGUUUAUUGUGGAGCUGCGGAUUGUUGAUGAAAUAUAUUGUGCCCAUAUAGACAGUUCUCAACGUGAUAAUCUAACAUAUGAUGUUGGCGCUGUUUAAAAACAUGUGAAUCUGAUGAAUCCGAGUCAAUGCAGGAUGAUCUUUUUAUACAAAUAAAUGAAGAAAAUCGGGAAUAUAUGAAACAUAUGCCGCAGAAGUGAAAUACAAAAGUGUUGGUUUACGCUCUUUCUAACGAUUUCCAAACAUUGUAGUGUCAAAAUCAUGUACUGAAAACCUGAUUUUCAUGAUAAAUACAGUACACAUGUAGAUGUUCAGCUACGAACAUAAUAAAGGGACUAAUGCUCUUCCGGCAAAGAUAACUAUACCAAUCUCCCAGGUGACAGCCAAGAUACAGAUUGCAGAUAGUGUCAUCAAGUCCAGAAGGAAUAGCCAUAACAUUGCCUAGUUAGUCAAGGAUAUGGAGAAACCCUCAUAUAUUAAAAUUGGAAGCAAUACCUUCAGCAAUAUUUUAACACUGCAGCAUAUAUAAAGCACAUAUCACCACUUUAUUGGUGAUUCAUCAAAACAUAGAUGUAUAACUUCAUACUAACAUGUAAAGAAGCAUGUGAUUCAUAACCAGCUAUCAUAAAUCUGUUUAUAAAGAAGAAUACUCUAAUAUCACCAUCUAUUAUGCCAAACACCUUAACACACAAAGGAUUAAAUGCAGCAAGACCGUGGUAUCUCUAUGAACAGACAGAAUAUUGCUUUAAUGAAACUAAUAAUGACAUAGUCUGUCCAAAGCUAACCAUUGCUAUUACUGAGGUUGACUUGACCGAUGAAGGAGAAUCCAAUAAAGAUCAAUGUCCAUCAAGAACGGAGCUUUUUAUGAAAUAAAAUACCAAAGUUUG